UGGUUCUGGCAUCGAUGAAGAACGCAGCGAAAUGCGAUAAGUAAUGUGAAUUGCAGAAUUCAGUGAAUCAUCGAAUCUUUGAACGCAUAUUGCGCCCUUUGGCAUUCCGAAGGGCAUGCCUGUUCGAGCGUCAUUACACCCCUCAAACCAAAUGGUUUGAUGUUGGGCGACGCCCCGUUGUGGGCCCGCCUUAAAGCCAGUGACGGUUUCAGCCAACCUCAGACGUGCAAGUAUCGUUAUGGGCGUGCGGUUGGGACCAGUCAGCCUUUUACAGCUUUUAAAUGUUGACCUCGGAUCAGGUAGGAAUACCCGCUGA
rnacentral:misc_RNA from 1 species